AAACUUUCAACAACGGAUCUCUUGGUUCUGGCAUCGAUGAAGAACGCAGCGAAAUGCGAUAAGUAAUGUGAAUUGCAGAAUUCAGUGAAUCAUCGAAUCUUUGAACGCACAUUGCGCCCGCUAGUAUUCUGGCGGGCAUGCCUGUCCGAGCGUCAU
rnacentral:rRNA from 1 species